rnacentral:rRNA from 1 species
UACGGAGGGUGCGAGCGUUGUCCGGAAUCACUGGGCGUAAAGGGCGCGUAGGCGGCAGGCCAAGCGUGCGGUGAAAGUCCGGGGCUCAACCCCGGAUCUGCCGUGCGGACUGGUUUGCUAGAGCACUGUAGAGGCGAGUGGAAUUCCGGGUGUAGCGGUGGAAUGCGUAGAGAUCCGGAAGAACACCAGUGGCGAAGGCGGUCUGCUGGGCCGUUGCUGACGCUGAGGCGCGACAGCGUGGGGAGCAAACAGG